GUGGAUGCAAUGUGACUCCUGAUUAGUUGCUCUGGCAACCUCCGGGAACAUUCACUAGUGGCCAUGGCAACGGCUGAAGCAUGGAGCCCGGCAGAUUAUUUCGAUUUAGAACAGGAAUGAGAAUACAGAAGCUGCUGGCAUACCACAACGUCAUCAUGAAAAAAAAGCUGUUGCUUGUUAAUAAUCCUGGUGCUUCAGUGGUAUUGACAGAAUUGCUGCUGGUCCACAGCUUGGCUCCUGCACCAGAUGCCCAUCAGAAUAAUCCAACAUUCAGCUAGCCUGAAGAAAUGAGGGGUUUGCUGUUUUAGGUCGUCAUGCCGAUGAAGUUGUAAAAUUGGAUGUAAUUUAAAAGCCUCGAGAUACAUAUCCUGAUGUUACCAGAGCCUGCCAGAUUCAGCUCCGGUUCUGCUUGAUGUCCAACUCCCACUGCUACGUGUCGCUGAGUGAUGACGACUAACUGCAGCCUGUGCCAGCC